rnacentral:lncRNA from 1 species
GCCAAAACAAACAAACAAACAACCCACCUUAAAAAGUUAAAUACAGGUUGAGAACAAUUGCUCUCAGCUUAACUUGAUUAUGUUAAUUAAUUAGGCAAUUUGAAAGAAAAGGUGAUUGGACCUGUGGAGCAAAGGGGAAGUAUUAACAAGGAGAGGGGUGACAAGCUCACUAACCUUUGUGGCAGAGAGGAAGACACAGAUAAUUAUCAUUUGUGGAAUAUUAAGGCAACAUUUGGGAGUAGAAGUUUGGGUAGGCAAUUCUGAAUAAUCCUGCCUGAUAACCUACUUACUGCCAAUACCCAAGUACAUCCAAUGCUGUGACUUCUUGGACAAAACAAAAACUUCCUGCUGACUAAUGUCUGCUUUGCCCCAAUCUGCCGGAUGCUCUGAAGACACAGCUGUUCUGCAUCUUCAUCCCAGAUUGUUACUCAAAGCUGAGCACCACCUGGUUGAGAGCAUCCAUCUCAGGCCACUGUCUUCUCUAUGAUACAUAACACAGCACACCAUGCAUCUGUGGAGAUAUUUGCUCCUCUUAGGCACAAAUACUCAUUUACUGUGUGCCAUGUUCUG